AGAGUUUGAUCAUGGCUCAGAUUGAACGCUGGCGGCAGGCCUAACACAUGCAAGUCGAACGGUAACAGGAAGCAGCUUGCUGCUUUGCUGACGAGUGGCGGACGGGUGAGUAAUGUCUGGGAAACUGCCUGAUGGAGGGGGAUAACUACUGGAAACGGUAGCUAAUACCGCAUAACGUCGCAAGACCAAAGAGGGGGACCUUCGGGCCUCUUGCCAUCGGAUGUGCCCAGAUGGGAUUAGCUAGCCAGUCGGAUGUGCCCAGAUGGGAUUAGCUAGUAGGUGGGGUAACGGCUCACCUAGGCGACGAUCCCUAGCUGGUCUGAGAGGAUGACCAGCCACACUGGAACUGAGACACGGUCCAGACUCCUACGGGAGGCAGCAGUGGGGAAUAUUGCACAAUGGGCGCAAGCCUGAUGCAGCCAUGCCGCGUGUAUGAAGAAGGCCUUCGGGUUGUAAAGUACUUUCAGCGGGGAGGAAGGGAGUAAAGUUAAUACCUUUGCUCAUUGACGUUAAUACCUUUGCUCAUUGACGUUACCCGCAGAAGAAGCACCGGCUAACUCCGUGCCAGCAGCCGCGGUAAUACGGAGGGUGCAAGCGUUAAUCGGAAUUACUGGGCGUAAAGCGCACGCAGGCGGUUUGUUAAGUCAGAGGGGUUUGUUAAGUCAGAUGUGAAAUCCCCGGGCUCAACCUGGGAACUGCAUCUGAUACUGGCAAGCUUGAGUCUCGUAGAGGGGGGUAGAAUUCCAGGUGUAGCGGUGAAAUGCGUAGAGAUCUGGAGGAAUACCGGUGGCGAAGGCGGCCCCCUGGACGAAGACUGACGCUCAGGUGCGAAAGCGUGGGGAGCAAACAGGAUUAGAUACCCUGGUAGUCCACGCCGUAAACGAUGUCGACUUGGAGGUUGUGCCCUUGAGGCGUGGCUUCCGGAGCUAACGCGUUAAGUCGACCGCCUGGGGAGUACGGCCGCAAGGUUAAAACUCAAAUGAAUUGACGGGGGCCCGCACAAGCGGUGGAGCAUGUGGUUUAAUUCGAUGCAACGCGAAGAACCUUACCUGGUCUUGACAUCCACGGAAGUUUUCAGAGAUGAGAAUGUGCCUUCGGGAACCGUGAGACAGGUGCUGCAUGGCUGUCGUCAGCUCGUGUUGUGAAAUGUUGGGUUAAGUCCCGCAACGAGCGCAACCCUUAUCCUUUGUUGCCAGCGGUCCGGCCGGGAACUCAAAGGAGACUGCCAGUGAUAAACUGGAGGAAGGUGGGGAUGACGUCAAGUCAUCAUGGCCCUUACGACCAGGGCUACACACGUGCUACAAUGGCGCAUACAAAGAGAAGCGACCUCGCGAGAGCAAGCGGACCUCAUAAAGUGCGUCGUAGUCCGGAUUGGAGUCUGCAACUCGACUCCAUGAAGUCGGAAUCGCUAGUAAUCGUGGAUCAGAAUGCCACGGUGAAUACGUUCCCGGGCCUUGUACACACCGCCCGUCACACCAUGGGAGUGGGUUGCAAAAGAAGUAGGUAGCUUAACCUUCGGGAGGGCGCUUACCACUUUGUGAUUCAUGACUGGGGUGAAGUCGUAACAAGGUAACCGUAGGGGAACCUGCGGUUG
rnacentral:rRNA from 1 species